AUGGGAAAAGGUCACAAGCAGCAUGCUAAGCACAGAUGGAGAAAAAGAGCCCUAUGUGCUGAGAUCUUGAGAUGUGUGUCCGAGAUGUGUCAGUCCGGAUGGCAGAAGCGGAUAGCUGGAAGAACCACAAACAAAGACUCACAGAAGUUAAGUCAAAAUGAAACAGAAACAUAUCACAGGGUAUCAGCAAGAUGCCUGGGGGUAAAUGUUCCAGACAUAAAGCCACUACGUUUAAGGGGCAGCCUCUGAUCCCUAUAUGCUCUGGAAUGGCUAGAGGAUGAAGUAGCAACACAUGGGACCUUGGUGUGGUGGCCAUUUAUCUGAGUACUUAAUGUUGCAGUGACACUGUUUCAGAUGGUUCCAGAAUAUAGAAAUCAGAGUAAGCAAAAUAUUGUCUAUAAGGCCUUCUCACUUUUCAGUGCCCAUUUUCUCCUGGGUAAGUGUCGGGUCUCUUCAGUGAGUGUGAUUUAAGGCCAGUGGGUUAGGUAUACUUCCCUGGAACUAGUUUAUGGUACCAGUCCCCAACAUGGUUUUUAUUAUUAUUAUUAUGAUAGUCAAAUGAAGUAAUUAAUGUUUUAUGGAAAUACCUUAUAAACUAUAGGGCUGCAAACAAAUGCAUGGAUUAUAAUCAUUGUGACGAGGCUCAACUAACACUGAGCAACUGCUGGAGCAGCUUGGUAUAGUCAAGAACUUCAGACUGAACCCACAACUAUGAACCAGAAAGAGACUGGGUACUCCCUCUUGCAGUGAGGGCCAGGGGUCAUUCAGGGGGAGGAGUCUGGGCCCCCUGGUUUAGAGCUGAUCUGUUAAGCAAUGGUCUGACUGAAAAAUCCUUAUUCAUUGGAAGAACAAUUUGAUUUUACAGUAGCUGCUGGCUGGAGGAAACCCAUCCAUGUGCCAUAAUAUGAAACUUAGGAAACAACCGAGGCCCAUAGAUUUGUUUCACAGGGUGGCUCAGAUAAUGAGUCCUAAUUGUACUGGAAUUAUUGCUUACUAAACAGAGGAUUAUGUUUAAUGACACAUGAGGGUACCUCAAAAAAUUCAUGGAGAAUGGAAUCAAGUUUGGUGCCAAAAUUUUGAAAUCUUUGCCCAUGAAGGGUCUUCAAAAAGUUAAUAUUGAGUGCCUAGGUUCAAGUCUUGGCUCUGUUUCCAAUUCUAGCUUCCUGCUCAAGUGCACCCUUGGAGGCUGCAGGUGAUGGCUCAAGUACUUGGAUACCUGCUUCCUACCCACAUGAGAGACCUGGAUUGAGAUCCAUGUUCCAGGCUUAUUGUGGGCAUUUGGGGAGUGAACCAGUGGAUGGAAGAUCUCUGUUUUUCUCUCUCUCUCUUUGCCUUUCAAGUAAAAUUUGUAGAGGUUUGUGGAAAUGUAUUUAUGAAAGACUGUACUGAUUUUAAUUUUUUUGCACUGAACUUAUCCCUUUACAAAAAAAAAAUCAAUUUAUUUAUUAAUUUGAAAGCCAGAGUGACAGAGACAGAAGAACAGAGAACUUCGUUUGCUGAUUCACUCCCCAAAUGGCCAUAACAGCCAGGGCAAGGUCAGGAAAAAGCCAAGAGCCUGGAAUUCCAUUCAGGUCUCCCACAUAGGAUGAUGUGGGCCCAAGCACUUGAGUCUUCCCAGGUGCACUGCCCAGGAGCUAGAUCAGAACUGGAGCAGCUACAAUUGACCCAGCACUCUGAUGCGAGAUGCCGGUGUGAUAAGCGGCAGCUUAACCCACUGUGCUACAUUGCCAGCCCCUAAACUUAUCUUUUAAUUCUAUUUCCCCUAGAAACUUCCUUUAAAAAAAAAUCAAUCCAGUUUUUUUUUCUUUUACUUUCAUUUUAUUUGAAAGGUAGAGAGCCAGACGAGUCUAUCCACUGGAGUGCUUUCAAUAGCCAAGGAUGGGUCAGGCCAAAGCCCGGAGCCAAGAACUCAACCUGGCAUUUCCAAGUACCUAACUGAGCCAUCACCUGCUGCCUCCCAGGUGUGUAUUAGUAGGAAGCUAGACUGAACAUGAAGGAGCCGGGAUUCAACUCCGGCACUCGGAUGAGGGAUGCAGGUGAACCAAGUGACCACCCAGCUUCAGUGCUAAAUGCCCCACCACAAACUUUUUGAGGUAUCCUUUUAUCUGUCAUUAAUCAACUCCCAAAAGAUUAAAAAAAAAUAAAUAGGAAGAUACUACACUUUCA
rnacentral:lncRNA from 1 species